rnacentral:rRNA from 1 species
AGCGAACGCUGGCGGCAGGCCUAACACAUGCAAGUCGAACGAACCCUUCGGGGUUAGUGGCGGACGGGUGAGUAACACGUGGGAACGUGCCUUUAGGUUCGGAAUAACUCAGGGAAACUUGUGCUAAUACCGAAUGUGCCCUUCGGGGGAAAGAUUUAUCGCCUUUAGAGCGGCCCGCGUCUGAUUAGCUAGUUGGUGGGGUAAUGGCUCACCAAGGCUACGAUCAGUAGCUGGUCUGAGAGGAUGACCAGCCACAUUGGGACUGAGACACGGCCCAAACUCCUACGGGAGGCAGCAGUGGGGAAUCUUGCGCAAUGGGCGAAAGCCUGACGCAGCCAUGCCGCGUGGAUGAUGAAGGUCUUAGGAUUGUAAAAUCCUUUCACCGGUGAAGAUAAUGACUGUAGCCGGGGAAGAAGCCCCGGCUAACUUCGUGCCAGCAGCCGCCGCGGUAA